AGCUCCGUUGUAGUCCAGCCUUAACUUUCGUGAUGAACAUUUAAUUUGUGAUGUCAUUUUGUAACACACGUUAAAAUUCUCGCCUAGUUGCUAGCGUGGCACGUCCUCAUACUGUGCUUCUGACUGGCUAGCAGUACUUACCUAGGUACUGAUAUGUGCA